UUAAAAGAGUGUAAUUUCUAAUUGUUUUGGCCCACCUGACUGUUUAGAUGAUUGGGAUCAGGCCGUCAGGAGGAACAAGAGGGCGGAGACAAAGUCCUGUGUGGAGACAGGAAAUGAGGACAUAGGGAGGCGCAUCAUAGUCAAACCCCAAAAAUGUGAAAAGAGAACAAAGAAACGAAAUGGGAAAAAGGCAGGACAAGGUCCACAUUUCAGGACUUCCCUUCCUCCUCCACCCCAGAUAGAAUCCCCCAUUCCACGGCGUAGCGCACUACAAAUAUCUUCACCCCCUGUGACUGAUGACGAUUACUCCCCUCCUUCACCGGCAAGAGACGUUUUUACAGAAAAUGAUGGUAAAGUUAUGCAUGAUGAUUCGAUUGCGUCUUCAUUUGAAACGCCAUUGCCUAUCUCUACUGGGGACGGUGACCGAAGAGAGAGAGAAACCAUACCAAUCUGGGCAAAGGAAUAUCAACGCGACAUUGGAGGUUCUGCUCCUGUUGGGCAAAAUAACCUGCUGAGUACAUCACAUGUACAUUAUAAAUAUAGCUAACUCCUACCCUAGCUUAAUGAGCACAUCACAUGGCAGUCACCUUAUAAUAUAGUCAACUUUUAACACAUAACACAUACAUGAGAAUAUAGUCAGGUCAGGGCCGGAGCCAGGGCCCCAUUUCUCC
ensembl:lncRNA